CACCGAGUUACCCACUCGCUUCCGGAAGUCGUUUUUGUUAACGCGCUAACCAAUUCACCCCGCCGCUAAAACCCGCCGUCUUGUGUUUUUCGUUACAUCUUCCGCUGAUAUAAAUUCAAGAGCGAGUGAUACAAGAAAUACUAGUUAUAAACAAUCGAGAAUCGCCAAUUCGUUGCUAUCACCGAUCCGAUUGAGCCUUAUCGCCCAAACUAAGAACGCCAGUAAAAGACAGUAAACGUACCAACAAAUAAUGUGCAGCAAGUGUAGCGAGUGUUGUCAAGGUUCAAGGCACAGUGUUGAUGCAAGCCCAACACCGGGAUCGGACUCGGAACCAUCAGAUGCUGUUGCGUUUUGGACGGCCUGCGAAUUCGCACUUAAUCGAUGCAUUGUCCGUUAAAAAUUUACGAGCUCAGACAUAAAAUUGAUCGACCC